rnacentral:rRNA from 1 species
AGAGUUUGAUCAUGGCUCAGAUUGAACGCUGGCGGCACGCCUAACACAUGCAAGUCGAGCGUAGCAUGAUUAGUAGCAAUACUAAUUGAUGACGAGCGGCGGACGGGUGAGGAACACGUAGGAAUCUGCCCUUUAGCGGGGGAUAACCAAGGGAAACUUUGGCUAAUACCGCAUAAUCUAGAGAUAGCAAAGCUGCCGUAAGGUGGCACUAGAGGAGGAGCCUGCGUCCGAUUAGCUAGUUGGUAGGGUAAAAGCCUACCAAGGCGAUGAUCGGUAACUGGUCUGAGAGGACGACCAGUCACACUGGGACUGAGACACGGCCCAGACUCCUACGGGAGGCAGCAGUGGGGAAUAUUGGACAAUGGGGGCAACCCUGAUCCAGCGAUGCCGCGUGAGUGAAGAAGGCCUUCGGUCGUAAAGCUCUUAGGUGGGAAGAAGGGUGUAGAAUACAUUCUUGACGGUACCAACAGAAUAAGCACCGGCAACUCUGUGCCAGCAGCCGCGGUAAUAC